CGGGUUGGCAUUACCCGUUGAGCAAUGCUAUUCACAAUCGAAGUACUCAAUGUCUACCUUCUUGUCUCUCUCUCCCUUUCUUUUUUUAAUUAGUUUUUCUCUUUUCUCUUGGUUGUCUUCCUCUUUCUUUUAUUAUUCUUCUCUCCGUUGCCUCCGUACUCCUGCUUCUUCUCCUUCUUAAUAAACAGGGCUAAGCACAGACAACAACUAAACACAAA
rnacentral:lncRNA from 1 species